rnacentral:miRNA from 1 species
CGGCACUCCAGAUGUUUUGGACUACACCUCCCAUGGUGCUUUUCCAGCAGUAUGGGUAUACGAGCAUUAUGGGGGAUGUAGUCCAAAACAUCUUGAGUGCCG